UCGAUCUCACCCACGACGAGAAUGUAUGGAACAUUAUAUCUUCGACAACAGCAUCUUUCUACCGAGUAAGCAUGGAUCAAGUGGUCGUUCAGAGAUGCUUGGCUGCCAGGACGCUUGCCAGUGCACAGAGGACUGCUCUCAUAGGCUCCUUCCUAUUGGUUGCUGCAUAUGUUAUUCAGUUAUCCAUGUCAAUCGCCUUGGUACUUUGGUUUCGGGGCUGUGACCCUCAACUUUCAGGUGCAGUCAAGAGCUACGACCAAAUUUUGCCGUUUUACGUUAAGACAUACCUUGUGCAUUUUCCUGGAUUCACCGGGAUUUUCCUCGCUGCCAUUGUGAGCGCCGCCACAAGCUCCAUAUCAUCAAUCAUAAAUUCUUUGGCCACAGUCAUAUAUAUGGACAUCCUACCUGCUUAUUUCAAGGAAAAUUCACAUAUCCGCUUAGUAACGCAAUCUCUA